UUAGUUUUGAGAGACAGUCUCGCUAUAUAGCCCUAGCUGUCCUGAAACUAACUGUGUAGAACAGGUUGGCUUCAAACUUAUGGCAAUUCUUCUACCUCCGCCACCUGAGUACGGAGAUUACAAGUGUGUGCCACUAAUGACCAAAAGCCUCUUUAAAAAAAAAAAAAAAAGAUUUAUUUUAUGUAUAUGAGUGCUCUAUCUGCAUGUACACCUUUAUGCCAAAAGAGGGAAUCAGAUCCAAUGAUAGAUGGUUGGGAGCCACCAUGUAGUUACUGGGAAUUGAACUCAGGACCUCUGGAAGAGAAGCCAGUGCUCUUAACCUCUGAGCCAUCUCUCCAGCCCCCAAAAGCCUCUUUCGAGUCACCCAGAGCCCUCCUUGGUGACUCCACAGCUCUUAUCCAAUCCUGGUGCCAUUCUAGUCCAUGAAAAUUAGAGGGGUCAAUGUACCCAUUCUGAUAAUGUCUGCCUAUGGCCACGGCCUCUGAUGACAUUGCACCGAGCUCUUUACAAUACCCACAGAAGACUUGGGAGUGGUGACUCCCAGACCUCUCCUGGGAGACUUCGACCCCUCACCUUGAUUCCUGGGAGUCACUAAGAAGGCUCUGAAGUCCAAGCAGGAGGCCAGAGACUGGAAUUCCUCCACACAUUUCUCUGGAGGGUGUGGUGAUCGAUCUGGAAGGACAGGGAGCAACCGGGCUGGUCAACAUUCCUGCUUCUCAGCUCUGCCCACCAAUUCCCAAAGGACCUGGUAAAGAUGCCCAUCCUGCUUUGAAAGGGGUCCUUUAGCCCUCCAGUCUCCCUGGGCACUCCCGCUUUGUACCACCACUCACUGUAGAGGAGAAAGCGCUGGUAACCCUGGCCCAUCUCUUUCAGCAUGAUUCCCCCUGGGCACGAGCUGGAGAAGAGGUCUGUUCUCAUGUCAGGCCGGCCUGUCAGGAACAUGAGAGGACAGACGCAAAACCAAGCUGAGUCGGGCCUAGUAGUGCAGGGCCAUGAUCCCAGCUGCUCAGGAAGCUGAGGCAGGAGGAUUUCACAUUCAAGGCCUGCCUGGGCUAUAGGCAUGGAUUAGCCACAGCACUGGGGCCUCCCCCGCUCUUCCGGAUGCAACCACUCUACAGUGUACCCUGCAUGUCCAGCGACUCUGAGGCGUUCGGAGGAGAGCUGAGCCCUACAGUAGAAACCUGUAUCUGUAUCUGAAUUGGAGCUCUGCUGUGUUGUGAAGCACCGAGGAAAAGUGACUUCAUUAUUAGGUCUUUCAUUCAUUCACUUGGCAAAUUUGGGGAUUUCAGUUAUUUGCCAGGAACUGGCUAAUCCUGGGGGACAUUUUUUUUUUUUAAAUAACGGAAAAACAGCUUUACAAACAAACCAUUG